GCCUGGCUAGCUCAAUCGGUAGAGCGUGAGACUCUUAGUCCAUUGUAUUUCAGAUUUGAGAUUAUCUCAAGGCUGUGGGUUCAAGCCCCACGUCGGGCU
rfam:Yarrowia lipolytica strain CLIB122 chromosome A complete sequence.